GACGAACGCUGGCGGCGUGCCUAACACAUGCAAGUCGAACGAGGUCCAUCCAGUGGCAACACUGGUGAAGACUUAGUGGCGAACGGGUGAGUAACACGUGAGAAACCCACCCCGAUCUCUGGGAUAACAGGUGGAAACACCUGCUAACACCGGAUGCCUUCACCGCAUCGCAUGGCGUGGUGAGGAAAGGUUACGGAUCGGGACGGUCUCGCGGCCUAUCAGCUUGUUGGCGGGGUAAUGGCCCACCAAGGCUUCGACGGGUAGCUGGUCUGAGAGGACGAUCAGCCACACUGGGACUGAGACACGGCCCAGACUCCUACGGGAGGCAG
rnacentral:rRNA from 1 species